rnacentral:rRNA from 1 species
GUGGGGAAUCUUCCGCAAUGGACGAAAGUCUGACGGAGCGACGCCGCGUGAGUGAAGAAGGCCUUCGGGUCGUAAAGCUCUGUCAUCAGGGACGAAUGGCCGGUGGAGUGGAAAGCCACCGGAUUGACGGUACCUGAGAAGGAAGCCACGGCUAACUACGUGCCAGCAGCCGCGGUAAUACGUAGGUGGCAAGCGUUGUCCGGAAUUAUUGGGCGUAAAGCGCGCGCAGGUGGGAUCUUAAGUCCAUUUUGAAAGUUCGGAGCUCAACUCCGUGAUGGGAUGGAAACUGGGAUUCUUGAGUACCGGAGAGGAAAGCGGAAUUCCCCGUGUAGCGGUGAAAUGCGUAGAUAUGGGGAGGAACACCAGUGGCGAAGGCGGCUUUCUGGACGGUGUCUGACACUGAGGCGCGAAAGCCAGGGGAGCGAACGGGAUUAGAUACCCGUGUAGUCC